GAGGAGACGACCAAGCGUGGGAAACAGGAGAGCAGACCACCGACCAACUUGGGUGUUCGCCGACGACUGACUUAGGUAACCUGCGACAGUGAAACAUCUUCUCCGACGACAACCACCUAUGUUCGAAAUCCCUAUCGCCGUGCAUAGGAGAUUAGCUUUGAGUCGGUUGGAGUUACGAAUUUCACGCUCUAUAAGAAGCUCAAGAUGGAGAAUGAUGCUGCCAUUGAUGACGAAAAGCAGAGGAUUGACAGGAAUGGGAAUGGAGAAGUUCUGUUUGUGGCUUUAAUUGUAACUAUUUUUUUUUUUUUUUCAAUCUUUUCAGGCUUUAAUUGUAACCAUUUUUUUUUCCUUUGCAAUAAAAUAGAGAAGUUCUGUUUU